rnacentral:rRNA from 1 species
GAUGAACGCUGGCGGCGUGCCUAAUACAUGCAAGUCGAACGCUGGAACUCUAGCUUGCUAGAUUGAAGGAGUGGCGAACGGGUGAGUAAUACAUAAGCAACCUACCCACGAAGACUGGGAUAAUCUCUGGAAACGGGGACUAAUACCGGAUAGGUAAUCGGAAGGCAUCUUCUGAUUAUUAAAGGUUAAAAACACUGGUGGAUGGGCUUAUGGCGCAUUAGUUAGUUGGUGAGGUAACGGCCCACCAAGACGAUGAUGCGUAGCCGGCCUGAGAGGGGGAACGGCCACAUUGGGACUGAGACACGGCCCAGACUCCUACGGGAGGCAGCAGUAGGGAAUUUUCGGCAAUGGGGGAAAACCUGACCGAGCAACGCCGCGUGAGUGAUGACGGCCUUCGGGGUGUAAAGCUCUGUUGUAAGGGAAGAACGGUAGAUAGAGAAUAUCUAAAUGACGGUACCUUACCAGAAAGCCACGGCUAACUACGUG